rnacentral:misc_RNA from 1 species
UCAUUGGUGUUUUAUAUACGAAAAAAAGGUAAACAUUUAGUUGUUCUUCAGUACGAAACCUGACAGUCAUAUCUCAUUUUUUUCGAUCAUGAAUUGGCAACCUUCCCUCUUGUUAAAAAUUGCACCACGAUGCAUAAUGAGUCGAAGUUAUGUGUCUGGUCUUGAAAGUUCAAAGCUUCAGAUAGUUACAUGUUGUCCUUCACAACUCAAAAGUAAGCCAAGAUUGAAUCAACUUUCUUUCGGGAAAAUAUUUACAGAUCACAUGCUUUCUGUAUCUUGGAAUCAUCAUACAGGAUGGACCUCGCCACUGAUAAAGCCUUUAGAAAAUCUUUCCAUUCAUCCUGGUUCUAAAGUUCUACAUUAUGCUCAAGAAAUUUUUGAAGGACUCAAAGCAUUUCGGGGUAUAGAUGAUAAGAUAAGACUAUUUAGACCACUUCAUAAUAUGGAAAGAAUGAAUUUAUCUGCAAAGAGAUCAAAGUUACCUAAUUUUCAUGGUACAGAACUUCUUCAAUGUAUUCGUCGUCUUUUAGAAAUUGAACAAGAGUGGGUUCCACAUUUUCCAGGAUCUUCUCUUUAUAUUCGUCCCACACUUAUUGGAACAGAACCAGCAUUAGGAGUUAAUCCAUCUAAUGAAGCAAAACUAUAUGUACUAUUAUGUCCAGUUGGCCCUUAUUUUAAUUCUGUUGAGGAAGGUGUGAACUUGCUGGCUGAUUCACGAUUCACUAGAUCAUAUCCUGGUGGAUGCGGUUUUGCUAAAAUGGGAUGUAAUUAUGCCCCAACACUUUGGACUCAGAGUAUUGCGUCUUCACAUAAUUGUGCUCAGAAUCUUUGGCUUUUCGGGGAAGAUCAUGAAAUCACUGAAGUUGGAGCAAUGAAUAUUUUUAUUUAUCUCAUAAAUCGGAAAACUGGAUUGAAAGAACUUGUAACACCAAGUCUAGAAAAGGGUCUAAUACUACCUGGGGUUGUACGUAGAUCUAUUAUAGAAUUGAGUCAAGAAAUAUUUAAGAACGAAUUUGUCAUGUCUGAAAAAAGUAUUAAUAUGAAUGAGUUGUUAGAAGCCUUAAAAGAAGAGCGUUUGAUAGAAAUUUUUGGAGCUGGCACAGCAGCUACAAUAUGUCCUAUUAAAGGUAUUCAUUAUGAUGGAGUAAUGCAUAAAAUUCCAUUUGAAAAUCCAGAAAAAGUCAGUAACAGAAUCAAUCACUGUUUUAACCUCCUCUGGAUUUGUGAUCUUAGCAAUAUUUGGAAUUAAGUAAGUUUUUUUUUUUAUCCUGUUGCUGCUUUAAUCAGCUCAUAGUCUUUUACUCCAGCUGCAAAACUUGUUUUAUUCUUGUCUUUACCACAACAUUUGAUUAUAAAACAGUUUUCUUUUCUGUCAUCUUUUGAACAUUUUUUAUCUCAAUGACUAUUUCUUCAUAAUUCCAUAACUUUGAAUAUGAAAUCACUUCAUCUGCUUCAAUACCAACCUCGAGAAGGAUUUGAGCAAUUAUAUCCAUAUUUAUACUGAUAUCAUACACCUUCCUCCUUCCGUUUGCCUCGUUUCUAAAUUCGAAAACGAAAAUUCCUUUACUCACACGCAGGGCACCUUUCUUGGCUCUUGUACUUAUUUGACUUCUUUUCCAUUCCUUAUUAUUCUUUCUUUUGUUGAAUUCUUUAACCCUUUUUGCUACCUGAGUGUAUGAGAAAUUGAUUCUUUAGCUAUUUUCGACUUUCAUCUGUGAUUCAGAAUCCACCAUUGUGACUUCUGAAAACUUUAUCACGUUAAAUGAUAAUUUUUUUCCCCUCUUGGGUCACCUCACCAACUUUAAAUAACUUAAUUUGAUUUGUAAUCACAGGCGUUUAUCACUACGUCUUCUCCCUUCAAUCUCAAAGAAGGAAAAAAACCACUCAACCUUGUUAACACUGUUGUCAAUUAAUCAGUUUUUUAUUUAAAGUCAUUUAUAUGUGUGUGUUACCUUUUUUUUGGAAAAUGGGGUAGUAUAGCGUGGGGCGUAUGAUAUGGAUUAUAAUGAAUGCCCUUCAAUUACUUUUGCAGUUGUUAAAGAUCCAUAUCAUUACUACUAUAAACACUUUUUUAAAUCCGUUUGCAUGGUCUGAAUAAUCUGACUUACUUAAUGAGAAACUCUCUUCAUAAAAGAUAAUAAUUGUUUAUAUUAAGAAGAAUGAAUGGACAGAGUGUUUAGUUCAAGUCGAAGACUAACCUGAUUAGCAUUAAGAAAUAUACAAAGUAGAGUUUUUCAGGUUUAUUAAGGUAGCUUUUAGCGUAUACAAUGGCUGAUAUAAUAAUACAUAGCAAAAUAUACUCAUUUAUAUGGUAUAUUUUGAAUAAAAAAACAAAUAUAUAAUACAAGAUGAAUCAUAUAAGUGGAUGUCCUUGAGAUUCACCCUUAUAAGCAUCUGAUUCAUCAAUUCUUUGUAAAAGGUUCUUCAAACAGGUUUCAUUUAUUUCCUGAUACAAAGAGGCCUCCUACCCAUUUUUAAAAUGGCAUUGAGAUUCAUUUUGUAGUUAAAGAUACUACAGUAGGUAUAUUUCUUUUAGUUUAUAUCUUAUUUAUCUAUAGAAAUCUCUGAAGUUCUGUUGGAUAAGAAAGUUAUGGGAGAAAGAUGACUUUUGGAAAAUUUAUCUGAAUGUUGUUUUAUAGCUAAACCAAAUACUCAUAUUCAGGAAUUUCAAAUUUCUUUACAGUAUUAUUGUUAUACUCUAAGCUUAUUAAAAUUUUUAGUGAUGGUACUACUAAAAUAACAAAAAUGUUUGAGCAAUCUUGAGGAUGCGACGUGGCAACUGAAAUUUUGUUUCCACACUCAAAUUCAGAUAUUCCAGUGAAUCUUAGCUUGACCAAUUCCCUGAUGAAUAAAAAGAAUUUCUAUUUUUUAGUACAUGCUACUGGCGAUAGGGAUAUGCAUGCGUCUACCUUUACACCUUUCAACGUAAAGUAUACGUGCAUCCUUGAAAAAUGUAUCCGAGAAUGCUGACCAUUAAAAAUAACUUUUUUAUGUCAAGCAAAAGAUAGUUUAAAAGCAGAAUACUUUUUGGGAUUCUAAAGUGGCUGAUAAUUAUUUUAGUGACAAACGUGGAAUUUUGUUCUUCUGUCAAUGUAAAAAUACAACAACUGAUUACAUUUUGUAGGAGUUCAAAUGUUAAUCGAAAAUUGAUGGAAAAUUUAUUGAAAUCUUUAAUAACUUAAUCAAUGAACAACUAGGCAAGCAAACAACCUCUUUACUUUGAAUAAUGAAAAAGUUGCUGCAAUAAUUAAAAUCACAAAAUAUAUAUUUUAUAAAUUACGUAAUAUAUAAGAAAACAACCUUAAUGGAUUUUUACCUAUUAUUAAAGUUUACACAAAUGUUCUAAUAAAAAUAUUUAUUUCAAAAUUUCCGGAUUGUGCACAUAAUCUUUUUAAUUGUCCAUUGUUUACAGGUUAGGUUAGGUUUAAAUUAAUUUUGUAUUCUACCUUAUGUUUAUAACUCUCCAUCGGGGAACACAAAAGAGUAGGUGCAUGCCUGUUGUAUCACGGCGUUAUCUCGCCUAUAAUAUAAAUACCCUAUGUAUUUUGUUGUCAGCUGUCAAUUUCCUCUUAUCCCUUUAUAACAAUCAAUUGAUUUCAUGCCUAUUUCAUAAUUCAUUCUUUUUUAUAAAUAAACAAAGUAAUAAGUUAUUCUAGACACAUGCUUUGUUUCCAAAAGAACAAGAAUACAAUUUCUUGUUGAUCCCACGUCGUUUAUAUAAUAUAUAUAUAUCGGCCAUUUUAUUAUUUCUAUGAAUACAUUUUGGCUAUUUCUUUCUUAAAAAUAAUAUGUCAUUUAUAUUAAAAAUGGUGAAGAAAUAAUAUGACAGUCAUAGUCUGCGAGUAAAUAAGAUAUAGAUUGCGGUGGUAUGAUUGACUAAUUUGCAUAACUACUUGAUGAUUUUGGGCCUUUUUUCCUUUUUUGAAGGAAAGGUUGCGUGAUACAAUAAAGAUAACGAUGUGGUGUAUUUCAUUUUAAGGUUCUAAUUAUUUUUAACUUUUUUCGUAAAAGGAAAGAAAAGCGGUGCACCUUAAUGUUUUUGUAGUCUUCAUUUGUGUUCCUUGUUCAAAGUCCUAACCUAUGUUUCAUUAUUGACAUACAUUUGAAUUGUAAAUGUUUGAAUGCAUACCGAUAGUUAAAAAAUUAUCUCCUAUUUUUACUCGCCUUAUAAGGUUCUUCUCUCUCUACUUACAUUUCGCCUAAGAAAUGUUUUUACUGCUACCCAGGUCUUCAAUCAUUGAGUUUCAUUUUUCAAAAAAAUUGUGCAUGAUAUACAACCCUUAAAACUUCUUAACUGUUUACAUUAUAUCCAAUUAUUGUUGUAGAAGGACACCCUUUUUUCUAGUAAUUUUAUACUUUUGUCUCUCUGAUGUAGUUGUUUUAACUUAUUAUAAUUUAUACUAUGAAUGGUUAUUUUUCUCAAUUUUAUUGAGAUAUAAACAAAUCUAUGUAAAAGAUUUGUUUUUGAUUAAUUUAAUUUUUUUUUCUCAUCCGAUUUAAAUAAAAUUUGGUAUGUCAGAUAAUCUAUUAUUGGGAAACACAAAAAUGAAAUUCAGAUAUGUAAAUCAAUUCAGCUCUGAGUUCGUUUCAUGAUGAAAUUGUUGAAAAUCAUAUUGAAGAACCUUACGUUUUGGAUCGUAGUUUGUAAGCCACACCUUAAAUGGAUGCAUAUAAUCAAUGAAUACUAAUCUUAAACGAAGAGAAGGCGUACGAAAGAGAUACGAUAUGGGGCAUUCUUUUGUUUUUACUUCAUUGAUAGGUAUAAAAUUGUAAAUUGGAGUAGAUUGUAGGGUAUUUAUUCAAUAUUAAUAAUAAUAUUGUUCAAUACAAUUAGACAUGCGAAAAAAUUUUUAAGUUUGAAGAGCAUUAUCAAUAUUCCUAGUCAAAUAAAUCAUCCUUUCUACCCCCACUAUUCAAUUUUUUGAAUCAUUUUUUACUUUAAUAAAUGUUAUUUUUAUAUAUUUUUACAUAUUAUCAUUUACUUCAGAAACUAAUUGUUUUACCAUGCACUUGAAAAUUUGACAGAAAAAUAAAAAGAUCAAAAUCAUGCUCUUCAUUAUAUUCAACGUCAAGAUUUUCCAGCAAAUAUAGAUCAUCGGAUGUUAGUUUUAAAAUAAUAUAAUUAGUAAAAAUAUUCGUUUGGAUUUUUUUUGAAGAUAUAAUUAUCUUGAAUAUAGACCUGUUGCUUUUAAUUUAUGAAAAUAUUGAAUAACAAAACGACAUACUAAGAAAAGUCAGCACUUCACAGAGUAUUUUUAGACGUCGAUGCCUUGUAACUUCUACGACAUUUUCGAAUGAAGAAUUGAACACCAUGUUGAUAGAUAUUAAUGCAAUUACACUUAAGAAUAAACUAUUUACCAAUGAGAAAAUCUUCGUUUUAACAAUAUACCUCGAUAUUUAGUAGUAUAUAAUUUUAAUAAGUGUAAAUCGUCGUAAAUUAAUCAAUUAUAAAAAAUAAUAAAAGCCUAAAAAAGAAGACAAAAUAAAUUACGAACUUAAAUCAAUGAAGUACAUAAAUACAUAUUUGCAUUACAUCAUUAUUUACCAUUAAUAAAUAAAAAAAUAAUUUUAGGUGUUAAUGUCUUAUCAAUUGUUAAAAUUGUGUCAAGGAACAUAAUCUAUUAUUUAGUGUCAAUUGAUAAUGAAAUAAUCGUUCUUAUAUACAGUUUUAUCUAAUUGUAACCACUUAAUGUAAUGCGGAAUUUAUUUAUUAAAUAUUGAGGUGGAGAUCCUAAAUACUUGCGAUCGAGUGAUAUUUCAAUAUAAUGACAAGUUAUGUAGUAAUUCAGAAAAUUACUCCCGACUCACUAACUUUUGAAAUAUGUUAAACGAAAUUUAUAUUUUCUAAUGUAAGUCUACUAAAAUUAUAAGAUGGCCAAUAAUUUAUUAACAUAUUUAUCACGUUAGAGUUCCCAUGAGCUGUUUAUGCAUAUAUGUAGGUAAUAGGAUAGUUAAGUAUGUUUUGUGGCUUUACUGAUAAAUAUAUCUAGAAAAGAAGACCAAAUGAAAUUCCAUCUCCAGGAUAGUCUUCUACUUUUGUUCUAAUGACAGAAGAGAAUCACAAGUAAUAAUAAAUCGGAAGCGAGAGUGAAGUCUCUAGAAUUAAAAAAACAAUACAGCUUCAUAAGUGGAUUCAGUAUCACAUAUAUGAGUUGUUUAUUUUUUGUGUACAUCAACGACACUUAAGGACUCAAAUCAAUGAGAGAAAAAAAUUCUAAGAACA